rnacentral:tRNA from 1 species
GGCGCGGUAGCCAAGUGGUAAGGCAAAGGUCUGCAAAACCUUUAUACGUCGGUUCGACUCCGACCCGCGCCUCCA